rfam:Phyllobacterium sp. YR531 PMI41_contig_35.35, whole genome shotgun sequence.
GAAUAUCGCCGGGGCUUUACCUCCUCCCAAAGCCUCCGCGAUCAAAGUCCGGCACUCCUCCUCCCAGCCGGUCUUUAAUUAACGACACCCACCGCACCUCCUCCCGCGGUGGGUGUUGUUG